GUGGGGAAUUUUGGACAAUGGGCGCAAGCCUGAUCCAGCAAUGCCGCGUGCAGGAAGAAGGCCUUCGGGUUGUAAACUGCUUUUGUACGGAACGAAACGGUCCUGGUUAAUACCUGGGGCUAAUGACGGUACCGUAAGAAUAAGCACCGGCUAACUACGUGCCAGCAGCCGCGGUAAUACGUAGGGUGCGAGCGUUAAUCGGAAUUACUGGGCGUAAAGCGUGCGCAGGCGGUGCUGUAAGACAGGCGGGAAAUCCCCGGGCUCAACCUGGGAAUUGCGCUUGUGACUGCAGUGCUGGAGUGUGUCAGAGGGAGGUGGAAUUCCGCGUGUAGCAGUGAAAUGCGUAGAGAUGCGGAGGAACACCGAUGGCGAAGGCAGCCUCCUGGGAUAACACUGACGCUCAGGCACGAAAGCGUGGGGAGCAAACAGGAUUAGAUACCCGGGUAGUCC
rnacentral:rRNA from 1 species